rnacentral:rRNA from 1 species
GAUGAACGCUGGCGGCGUGCCUAAUACAUGCAAGUCGAGCGAACAGACGAGGAGCUUGCUCCUCUGACGUUAGCGGCGGACGGGUGAGUAACACGUGGAUAACCUACCUAUAAGACUGGGAUAACUUCGGGAAACCGGAGCUAAUACCGGAUAAUAUAUUGAACCGCAUGGUUCAAUAGUGAAAGACGGUUUUGCUGUCACUUAUAGAUGGAUCCGCGCCGCAUUAGCUAGUUGGUAAGGUAACGGCUUACCAAGGCAACGAUGCGUAGCCGACCUGAGAGGGUGAUCGGCCACACUGGAACUGAGACACGGUCCAGACUCAUACGGGAGGCAGCAGUAGGGAAUCUUCCGCAAUGGGCGAAAGCCUGACGGAGCAACGCCGCGUGAGUGAUGAAGGUCUUCGGAUCGUAAAACUCUGUUAUUAGGGAAGAACAAAUGUGUAAGUAACUAUGCACGUCUUGACGGUACCUAAUCAGAAAGCCGCGGCUAACUACGUG